rnacentral:lncRNA from 1 species
UUAGUGGGGUUGUGGAGUGUGUCUUCCUGAAUAUAGUGAUGCCCCCUUUUGCCGGCAGACGGUCGGCCGUUUUCGAGAUGUUGCGGGUCGGAGUUUUGGGCGAAUGUUUAGCUGCAGUUUGGAAUCGUCAUAUUAAGCGGGCUGUCGUGGCCUUGUGGAUGCGAGCGUUGUCGCGGUGGCUUGGCCUGGGUUCGGGUCUCGCUCCCGAUAUAGAUUUUUUUUCUUUCAUUUUUUUUUUGUUUAUUUAUAGGAUAUUUUAUUGUAGCAGGAAUAGCUGAAACGUUGAAUUUUUUUUUUGUUUUUUUUGUCAUUUUUGGCGAAUGGAAUCAGGAUCUAGUAACUAUUAGUGAUCUCCAUUCCCUUUUAAAGAACAUAAAAUCUUUUAUUAUUUAUUCUUACAACUUGUUAUAAUUUUAUUAACUAAUGAAAUUAUACCAAUUAUAUCUGUGAAGCGUGCGGGACUGACAGACGAAACUGACAGGCAUUAGACCUUGCG